rnacentral:lncRNA from 1 species
UUCUCACUCAGUGCUUUCUAAAGAUGGUGAAACACUUGGAGAAUGAGUAGAUAUAAAGGGGGCUCAGUUGGAGGAAGCAGAGCUGGUUGGUCCGAACCCAACUUAAUAAUGGGGAUAGAUCUCUCAUCCUGGGCAGAGAGACCUUCCUGGAGGAAUUUUCUUCCCAAGCUGUGCCUGGUCUUUACAAGUUACUCCAUCUGCAUGAACUAUUGAACCUUCCCUGAGAACCUGUCAUGGACUUGCCCAACUUCUGUUGGAACAGCUCCAACCACAAGGAGAAUCUCAUGCUGAUCAAAAUCUUCUCAAAGUCCUCAGCUCCUCCUACCCCACAGGAAUGCUCCUAUUUGACCAGCAAGAAAACGAUGGACAAACUGACAAGCAGCAACUUUUCUUACACUCCUCAGAGAACUAAGGUUGCAGGACAAACUGCUAGACCAGAACCUAGAGAGACAGGUGGACCCAGAGAGAAACAGUGGAAAUCUGCUUACCCUGGGUAGAAACUAUUGGAACCUUAAACUGGCGAGAUUCAUUCGUGUGAAUUUGUAUGGGUGUCUAACAGCAGAGCCAGUUUCGCUGCUUGGGGA